rnacentral:rRNA from 1 species
UACGAAGGGGACUAGCGUUGUUCGGAAUUACUGGGCGUAAAGGGCUCGUAGGCGGCCAACUAAGUCAUACGUGAAAUCCCUCGGCUUAACCGGGGAACUGCGUCUGAUACUGGAUGGCUUGAGUUCGGGAGAGGGAUGCGGAAUUCCAGGUGUAGCGGUGAAAUGCGUAGAUAUCUGGAGGAACACCGGUGGCGAAGGCGGCAUCCUGGACCGGUAUUGACACUGAAAAGCGAAAGCCAGGGGAGCAAACGGG